UAUAUACUCCCUCCGUAUAGAAAUACUUGUCAUAGGAAUGGAUGUAUCUAGAUGUAAUUUAGUUCUAGAUACAUCCAUUUAUCAGUUUAUGCGACAAGUAAUUCCGGACGAAGGGAGUAUUAA
rfam:Hordeum vulgare subsp. vulgare, WGS project CAJW01000000 data, contig: morex_contig_314877